CCUGUGCCUGCCCGGGACCCUCCCUGGCGCCCUGACCUUUGGCGCCAGCUUCCUCUGGCAGCCUCGUGACUGGUCUCACCUCCCUGCGGCCUCAGCCUCCCUGGGGAGGAGGCUCAGCUCUCCAGCUGCUGUUUGGCAUCUGCCAGUCCUGCCUUUCUAGCUGUGUGUGACAUCUAUAGAUGAUGACAGCCCCCCCAAUUAGCAGCUAAAGUGACCAGGGCCUUUCUGGUCCUCACAUCUUUAGUCUGAGGGUUUUGUGAUAUUUUAUGAACUGAGCUGGUUUUCGGUAGCUCUUCACAAGUGCCCACUUAAAGGGCACCGAGAUACACGGCUGAAAACAGAAGGGGAAGUUAGACACUAAUCCUCACUACUGGCGACAAAAGAGCAGACAUCAGAGCGGCCGCACUGCACAGCCUUCUGCAACACAGGGCUGGGAGGUGUGGGGCAGAGCCACAGCAGGUGUGGGGGCACAAAGGCAGCAUGAAGGGAACAGCUUCAGGUAUUCACGGCCAAAUAGGGAGGUCUCUUAUUUUCACCCUCCCCCACUGCCUGCCAGGGGGCUAGAAAAAUUCCUUUUGUGAUCAGUCAUUUUCAGGGAAUUUUAAGAUGCAUGAAACAGGCUUUUCAUCCAAAUGUUCCUUGGCAGCCCAGGAAAUCUUCACCGGAUUAAAUGUGUGAGAAUGAGAAUGAACCCCAGAUGUGAGGCAUCCUUGGAAAUCACCCUGGGGGAUGAGUCCCAGGACUCAGUCCCAGACCAGGAUCGCCACCCCCCUAACCCCCGGCAGGGCUUGUCCUUGGCAGGAGAGACCGCUUCCCUGCACCCCAGGACCAUGCCAUUGGCCCCUGGAGCACAGAAACCAGGUGGCCACAUAUAGAGAAGGAUGGGGAGGGGGCCUGUGCGCCUGAGCUACCGUACUCUGGCCCGGAAAGUAGAGGGCAGUGUCUGACUUGGAGAUGUGUCUUGUCCAGGGAGGGUGAGGGGGAGCCAAGGCAGGCUGCGGGCCGAUCCGAGUCUGGGUCACUGCUAGGGACACAGCCACACCAGGCCCUGUGUUUACAGAUGUGCAGAAAAGGUUCUGGAGGGAAAUUCAUGAAGCUGAGGAGGCUCGUUCUGGAGGAGGAAGUGGUGGUAGUCUUCUGCACACUACACUAUACUCUGCAUUAUUCCCAUUUUACAUGGUUAUUUCUGUUUUAUAUGGUUUCAGUAUUUUUAAACCAUGCCACGAAAGUAUGCAGAAUCCUAUACAUCCGAGGUCAUCUGGACGCCCUCACGGGCACUGACAGUGGCACAGCCCGGAGCAGGGCUGGGGGGAGGUGGCGCCUCCCCAGCAGGAGGUGGGGCUCUGCCAGUGGUGUGGUGGCACAGCUCCCCUCUCCCGAGAGAGGGGCUGCUGCAGAUUUAACAAUGGAAACAUGCAUUUUACAAAUGAGAGGAUCAACAGCCGGGAAAUGGUAUUUUUAGCUACUGUGGCUCUUUGCUUCAAAGGCGUAUGUUUCAUCUAAAACCAGGCAAACCUCCUACAAAGUCUGCCUGUUUGCAAGGAGUGAUUAGCAUAACACGAGUAGGAAAAAAAGGCCUGGCUCCACUCUGAGGCAGGAGUGCCUACUACAGGGGGAGGCUUUCUCCUGAAAUAGAAGUGCCAGAUGAGAGAAGUCUUAUCAAUGGUGACGAAGCCCCCGUUCACUUGGAGCAGAAGUGCUGCCUUGCACUAAUGGCCUGGCUAUUAUGGGUGCGAUGUUGCCACUAGCAGAGUGAGAUCUGGGAGUGUAAACAAAACCAGGGCUCUGCCCUUGUGGGUGCUCUUUAAAUAUCACUUGUGCUUCAUGUAAUUGUCUUCUUCCAAUUUUAAGUACAAAGGGUUUUGGGGUUGUCUACAUACAUGUCUUUUCUGAGGGGCAGGGCAAAGCCAGUCAAGGUGAACAAGAGGGAUGGAGGGCAGGUGGGGACAAUCAUAGCACAAGGUCUCAGGUGGUGACGAUGUCCCCCUCCAAGGCCACACUGCUGCCCAUUGGAUGGCAGUGCCCCUGGCCACUCCCACCCGCCUGGCCUCUCUUCUCCCAGCUGUGUGCUUGGCCUGCACCCUCAAUGGCUCUUUUCCUGCCUGGACAGAAACCCAUCCCUGGCUCUGGAAGAGGACCCUGGAUCGUGAAGACAGCCUGGGGCUCUCCUAACACCACAAGCAAGGCUGUGACCUUCCAGAGCGAGAGCGGUCACUACAGAUAUGCAUCUCUGGGGCAGCACUGAAGACAGAUAACACCUGGCAGCUGCUCCAGGCCUCUGGCUGUCACACCAGGCCCAGGGCCCCAUCUGGAUGGGAGGGAGACCUGGGGCUGUGGGGGUGGGGAGCAGAAAGUGGCAGUGGGUGUGCCAUCUAUUUUAGGCAUCACCAGCAGAAUGAGAAGACUCCAGGCCCAGGCAUUUCUCCAUCACCUCUCACCCUUGGGGUUCCCCCCAGGGGAAAGAGCACAGAUAGGUUUUGCAGCAGAGGGUCAGGGGAUGGAAAUGCUUGCAGAUGGGAAACACAGCUGAAGACCUCAGAAAGCAAUUACCAUGCUACUGGGGGGCCUGGGAGAAGCAGAAGGAGCCAGAUUGGGCAGUUGCUCAGGCUUCAAGGGCAGGAAGGAAGGCAGGAAGGAAGGGAAUUCCAGGACUCUGCCAACUGUUAGAGCCGGGGCUCCCAACAGAGGUGGACGGGGGUCUCCUUCUGGACAGGGGAGGCAAGACUUCAUCCAUCAUGGAGAGAGGGGCUCAGCCCAGGUGGGAAGAAGCAAAAGCUGGCUUUACUCUACUCAGGAGAGACAGGAGAUUCAAGUCAGCUGAGUGCUCAGGGCCUGGAAUGAACUGCGGAAGCCAGCAUCCCUUGAAGAGCCAAACAAGCAAAGGGAAGUGACGAGUGGAGUGGAUUUAAACUUACUCCCAGCAGCACAGAAUCUUGCAGAAUGAUGCAGCAGCAAGAUCCCUUGCCAAGCAAGCUGUCUGAGUCAGCUCCUUAAGGGGUCUUAAGAGAUCUAAGUAGCCUUUGGGGUCUUAAGAGGCUAUGGGCAGGGGAGGGGUUAAAGGCCACAGCUGUGCCAGCGACUGAGUGAGGGUCUCACCCCAAUUUACUUCAAUCCUCCCUUGGUGGGCUCUGGACUGCACUUCCUUUCCAGCUCACUGGAAGCUCUGGGGGCUGCUGGGAAGCUAGUCCCUCUGGCACAGCCUCCGUACACCUACAGCCUGUGCAAAGGCUCCAGGUGGCCACCCGUCAGUAGCUUCACCUCUCAGGGACUGUGCACCCUACCCAGGUGGACAGUGCUUUCUGAACCUACCACAGGGCUACUUGUGAGGCAACCAGGGCCAGGUCCCCCUGCCACCUUACAGCCACGCAGCAAGCCUCACAGAGGGCUUGAGAUCCACCUCUGGACUCCUGGGAAGAUGGCCUGCAGUGCCAGAGACGCUGUCCCUUCCCUGCCCCCAGCUCAUUUCCACUGAUCUUUUGUGGCAGCUUAGACAUCAUCUCUCUCCAGAAGCUUUCCUGGACCCUUCCACUGGGCUGGGCACCCUGCCCCCACCCCAUCUGCUCCCACAGAGCUUCACCAUGCCGCGAUGCUGCCACUGGGAUCUUGACAAACCCGAGCUCUGCCCACGGUGGUGUCCCCACUGGUGGGCACUGGGUCCAACACUGGUGGACGCACGUCAGGUCUGCUCAGUGACAAAUGGCUGCUCGGUGCUCCCCGGGCUAGCACAGCGGCAGUGCCCUUCUGGGUGCCAGGCGGAGGCUCUUCUCUGUCCUUGCAGGGAGGAUGGUGAGCACUCGCCUCCAGCAGUUCCAUUCUCAGACGCAAGGCUCUUGCCCAGCCUGACAGCUGUGGCCUAAUUUCCAGGGCUAUCACCGGACUCCUUAUUUUUACCCACUUGGUAUUUUUCAUUACUGAUGUGGGGGGCGGCGAGGGACUGGAGAUGGGGGAGGGUGUGGACAAAUGGAAGACACAAAUGCUAUGGGGCCGCUGUCAGGGUGCUGGGGGAGGGACAAGCCAGGCUGGAAAGGGAUGGGGGUAGGGGUGGGAACAGAGAUGGAUCCAAGGGGGAAAAAAAAAUCCCAAAUCCCACUUCUUGAUUUUCCUCAGUAAGCAUUUUUGACAAGGUCACAAAUGCACUGGCUCUAUAGAUUGUUGGCUCUAGACCACAUUUCAGGCAGCCUUUAAAAGCCAAUUCUUGGCAUAGCUUCAGCAGAGCCCGAGGAGAGGGAAAACUAGGGCACUUUUAUGCUCUGAGAAAACAUCGGAUCCAGGUCACAGCUUCCUGGCUGCCCAGAAGCGGUGGGGCACCCCUCCUCUGGGCCUGAACCUGAGCACCCCCAGCCCCGCAUUUCCUUCCAAGCAGGAACUGUGAGGCUGGGUCACACACUUCUUUCUUGUCACCUGUCUUCCUGUCUCUCUAGACUGCAACCUUGGUGCAGGCAGGAACCACAGCCAUCUGUCCCUAUGUGCCCAGGGCUGGCAUGGCGCCUGGCACACCUCAGAAUGGACGUAAGGGAACCCUGGAUCCCCGCCCCAGCUAGGUGAUCUCUCUUUUUAUAAACUCCCCAGCAUUCAGCCACCUAAAAUGCUCCUGUCACACCGGAAAUGCCUCCUCUCGGGAUGAUGGAGGCUGCUGGCUCAGUGCACAGUGGGCAGUUGGGGAAAACGAGGGCUCAGUUUCCUCUUGCAUUUAAGAACUCAGGAGAUCCUUAAGGCCCCUCCUGGCUGCCAUCUGCCUGAGACUGUCCUCAUCUCUCUUCAAUCAUGGCCCCGUGGCAACCACCUGGGGACCCAUGUCUGAAGAUGGGAUUGAGUGGACCCUGCUGGGAGGUGCUGGGCUAUGUCCACCCCUAGUGCCACAUAGCACAAGGGAAGAAGCCCUGUUCUGCCAACGCUGACACCUCUAGUCUCAGGCAAGCACAGUGCUGCUGAUGGAGGGAAGCCACACAGGAGCGAUUAGCUGGGAGGCCUGUGGGAUUCCUCGUGUGCCGCCCACACUCCAUCGGCCUGGUCCUCACUGCCUGCUCCCAGCCGGUCUCUGAGAAGGGUGCUGAGUCACAGACCUCCCUUCACCCUCCCCUGCCCCUGGAGGGAUGGAGGAUGUAGCUGCUGGGAGGUGAGGGAGACACUCCUUCUGCCAGCGCCGAAAUGGCCCUUGUGGGGCCUACUUCCCACUUUCCGGCAGUCAGCGUUAGAACCCAGAGCACAAGGGCACGCUCAUUCAGUCUCCCCCCCAGUGUCCGCUACCUUGGAUUCUAAUUCUGCAAGCAACUGCUUCUCUGCCUGUACCUGAAGGUGGGCACAGGACCUCCUGCACCAAAAGUGGGCACAGUUGGGUCUAUUACAGUCGGGCAUCACACAGCCAGGCCUUUUCUGACCACCCUGAAGGCUGUGAUGAGACUCAAGCCCAGGACAGUUGCUGAAGGGUGGGGUGCUGAGAGGAGUGAGCCUCCGUGCCACUUCGCAAGUGGGCCGUGCAAGAAUGGGGCUGACAGGAGCAAAGGGAGAGAACUGUGCAGGAGGGGAGAGGGAGGCCAAGUCCUGAUGAGAGCGGGGGCCUGAUCUAUUUAUCUAUCCAUCCAUCCAUCCAUCCAUCCAUCCAUCCAUCCAUUUCAUACUCCGUAGCCCAGGCUGGCCUCGAACUUGAGGUGAUCCUCCUGCCUCAGCCUCCCAACUUCUGGGAUUACAGGCAUGCGCCACCACACCUGGCUCACCUUUUUUAAAAAAACAUGAGGUUGAGAAUUAGUUUUCUGUCCUGUGCCAUCUGGUGUGUGGAAUGGGCAGGCCUGAACAAGUGCAGGGUCAGCAGGUGGGGAGGGGGAUGCAGUGGAAGGAAGGAUGCUGGGAUUCCAGUCUAUGUUUAAUGCAGACUCUACGGCUUUCUCCCUCACCCUCCUCUAGAAAACAAGAGAAGCUGAAUCAACCCCAGAACAUCUGCUUUCCAAGAGGGGCUCCUGGACACAGUGGCAAACAGCCGGCUGCUCGGGUCACCUUGGAGGACAAGUGCUCUCCCCAUGUCAAGUUCACCUGUGGCCUCUAACCUUCUACAGCCGUGCUCAAAGUGCUUGGAUCCCUGAAACAUGGGGGUGCUGCCCUUUGAAGCCCAGGCUCCCAGAAUACACUAUGCAGCGACCCGCCCCCCCCAGACCCCUCCUCCUCCUGGCCCUGGGAGAGUCUAAUUAAUGCCAGCCCAUUGCAUGUGGUUUCCAUUUGCCAGAGGAAAAGAUGGCCCUCUCGCCGUGGGUGCCAGUGUGCAGGACGGUGCCGGGACUGCUUGGAGUGGGCAGAGCAAAGCCAGAGCUGGCCCCAGGUCGCUCGACCCUCUUUCUACUCCUGGGUCAGCGAGGGGCAGAAGGGCUCCAUCUCAGAUGGUUCUGUGAUGUGCUGGGAUGCUGGUCACUGCCCUGGAUUAGGGGAUAACGGACAUGCAGAAUGGGUCAGGGUCUCUGAAUACUGCCCCUUGCAAGGACAUGUGUUCCCCUUGGAGGGUAGGACUUUUCUUCCAGGCAGUCCUUUGUGUCAGAUCAGGCCUCCCUGUCACUCACAGUCCCGCAGUGUUGGCUCCAAUUAGUGGACUGGAAGCCAAGGGCUGGUUGUGCAAGAUGGCUUCUGCCACACCCUCCUCUUUGCUGCCUUGCACUGAAACAGAAGUGCCCUGCGCUGGGCCCCAGCGUGGGGGGAACCCAAGAGAUUCACACAAGGAGCUGGGCAGACCUUAAUUAAGUCAGCCAGAAGAGGAGCUUCCUCUGAGAAGAAAGGAAGACAUUCCUCAGAAGAAUUCCUCCAGCCCUGUUCAAUGUCCUGUCUCCUUCCCUCAGCGGCGAACCCAAUCGAUAUGGCUGCAAAAUAACAAGAGGUCAAAACCUGUCGGCACUCUGGGGAGGAGUAUUGUACAUAGCUAAGUUAGGUGGGAAUAUUAUAUAGGCAGUCAGGCCCUCGAGAGAGUCAGUGCAGAGGACGAAAACACAUUACAAGGGUGUCUAGAGGUACACCUGCUGGAGGCCAGGCCUCAGCAUAAAGAUGGAAUGGCCAGACCUAAGAUAAGUGGUAACACCCAGUCUAAUGAAGUCUAGCUAGACAUCAGUCACCUUGGUGGGAAACCAAGACCCCCAGACUCACCCCUUCCUGAAAAGUUCUUUCUUCUUCCAUGUUCACUUGCUAUGUGACUUGUUUCCCCACUGGGUCACUAUUACCUAAGCGACUAUACUAACAAUCUUACUGAUUGAUCACAGCUGUAACCUACGUUGUACCCAUGUGGUUGUGUUCUGUAAUACUUCCCCUGAGAAGUGGGGUUCUCAGCAACCCAUUUUUGGGCCCCUUCCUGCCUCUCAGGAGCUGUAUCUUUCCCCCGAAAUAAAUAUUUCCUGCUCUGAA